ACUAAUGUGUUUAACGAGUAUAUAAGCCAUGGCCGCCCGGGUAAUCUUGGGAAAUUUUAUCGUGACAGGGAUAGAUCAUUGCAAUUGCUGGUCUUCGAC
rnacentral:rRNA from 1 species